rnacentral:lncRNA from 13 species
CUGCCGAGGUGGGCUGAGCAUCCCCUGUAGAGCUGAGCACAGCAGGAUGCUCCUUAGGGACCCCCAUGCCAGCUGCACACACGGCUCUCAGCAGGCUGGUGAACACAUUCCCUGGCAGAAUUCACCCACCGGGGCUCGCAUGGCCAGUGCUGAUGUGCACAGUCCCCUCCAUGGCACAGGGCAGUGACAGGCCUGGCCAAUUGCUGUCUUUGCAAGUCCACCUGCCCCCAGUACCUCUGGCCGGGGCCACCUGGCACCAGCUGUGGCCUGUGCCCCAGUGCUGGAUCUGACCAGCCCCACAGAGGGGCUCUGGGUGCCUGGGAAGUCACACACCAACACUCCCACCAAGUGCUGUGUGUUGCUCAGAGCAAGCCCAGAAGACCGUGGGAGGGCAGGAGGUGACAGAUGCCAGGAAGUGAGGAUACCCGGGGCCCCUGGGGCCUGGCCACCACACACCCUGAAGGGCACGCCCGGGCUAGACAGGCAGGCUGUGAUUAAAACACCACAAGAGGCCUGGAGACUCAACCCAGUGCAGAACUUCCUCAUGCCACACCAGACCUGGCAAGACAGGAGCUUCUGGGGCGAUGAAGACAAGGUCACAGCCCCACUGAGUGACCCUGAUCAGGCCAAAGUCCAGCCAGGCUCAGGGAGAGGCAGAAGGGACUGGACUGGACUGGCAGUGUCAGGAGCCGCGGGGUCAGUGGCCAGAGCCAUAGCUACCCGAGCCUGAGCCCGAGGGGCCCUUCGUGAGCAGAGGAGAUGCAGGUCCCCCAGGAGCCUGGAGAUUGGCCUGAAGACCCACGAGGAUCUCACGCUGCCUGGUUGCCCUCACGAAAUCCAUGAGUUUGGGGAAAAAAACAGUCUUUCUGAUGCCCAAGGGAAGCUUUGCUUUAUGCUAGUGGUUAGACAAUUUUUUUUACAUAUCAGCACAAAAACAUAACGUUUAAAACUUUGCUUAGAACUUGUGAUUCCCGGCCGGGCGUGGUGGCUCACGCCUGUAAUCCAAGCACUUCGGAGGCCAAGGUGGGUGGAUCACCAGAGGUCGGGAGUUCAAGACCAGCCUGACCAACAUGGUGAAACCCCGUCUUUAUUCUAAAAAAUAAAAUAAAGAGCUCGUGAUUCCCA